GUGCCAGCCGCCGCGGUAAUACCGGCAGCCCGAGUGAUGGCCGAUAUUAUUGGGCCUAAAGCGUCCGUAGCUGGCCGACCAAGUCUCCCGGGAAAUCCACCCGCCCAACAGGUGGGCGUCCGGCGGAAACUGUGUGGCUUGGAACCGGAAGGCUCAGAGGGUACGUCCGGGGUAGGAGUGAAAUCCCGUAAUCCCGGACGGACCACCGAUGGCGAAAGCACUCUGAGAAGACGGCUUCGACAGUGAGGGACGAAAGCUAGGGUCUCAAACCGGAUUAGAAACCCGGGUAGCC
rnacentral:rRNA from 1 species